rnacentral:lncRNA from 1 species
CGAGGCCUAGGCAUCCCAGCAACCCCACCUGUGAAAACACUUCAGCCUGGGCCCUAAGCAGAGAUGAACAGCAAGCUGCUCACCAUGCUGACAGCACUUCCCUGUGUGUUUUACUUCAUCAUGAAAUCCAAAUUUGGUGCUGAAGUGCCCAUCUAAGCUCACUCACUUGCCUCUUUAAGACAAGAAGAUAUCCAUGGCUGGAAUGACUUGGGAAUUUGAUAAAAUCAAUUAAGAAUGUCUAUAGAUGGAAAAAACAAAACUCCAUAGUGAUUAGAGGCAAAGGAUGGUCAGCAAAUCAUUGUUUCUGGCUGCUACCAUGAAGUGAGCAGCUUUGCUCUGCCAUGAUGUUUCUGCUUUGGAGCCAGCCAACCAUAGACUGAAUCCUCAAACUGUGAGCCAAAAUAAACUCGCCUCAUUUCAGUUAUUGCGGAAGAGGAAGCCACUUAGCUACAAUUACCCAGAAGGUCAUGAGCACUGAGGAUUUAGUCCCUUGAAAUCAAUUAUUUGGUGUGAAGAGAAGAAAAGGAACAUUUAAUGGAGACCUAUGUGUACGUCAUCUCUUCAAUCCCCUCUAUGGACCCUCAAGAUAAAUAUUCUUUAGGGUGAGAAAUGAGUUCUGGGGGUCAGAGCCAGUUUAGGUCAGUCUGAUUCCAAGGCCAACUGGCUUCCACUGCUGUUAAAACUAUGUGUCAC